UUCUUCCUCGAAGACAAACGGCAAUGUAAUGUAAUAACGAAAAUCCCUUCCGAGAUCUGAGGCAGCGGCCAAUCACCGUUGACGACCAAUUGCCGAAGCCGUCCCUUCUUCUUCUCCGGCUUCCUCUUCCUCCUCCUCUUCUCAGGGAGAGGGGAGGGAAAAAGAAGGAUGUCAUCUUGGGAUCCAAUCAACCUGGCCGUCCAUGUGGCCCGCGGACGCUGGUUCACCCUCUUCGCCUCCUUCCUCAUCAUGACUGCCUCCGGCGCCACCUACAUCUUCUCCGCCUACUCCGCCGCCAUCAAGUCCUCCCUCGCCUACGACCAACGCACCCUCAACACCAUCUCCUUCUUCAAGGACCUCGGUUCCAGCGUCGGCGUCCUCCCCGGCCUCGUCAACGAAGUCGCCCCGCCCUCCGUCGUCCUCGCCACCGGCGCUGCCAUGAACUUCUUCGGUUACCUCAUGAUCUACCUCGCCAUCACUGGCCGCACGCCUCGCCCCCGCCUCUGGCAGAUGUGCCUCUACAUCUGCGUGGGCGCCAACUCGCAGGCCUUCGCCAACACCGGCGCCCUCGUCGCCUGCGUCCGCAACUUCCCCGAUAGCCGCGGCGCCGUGCUCGGCCUCCUCAAGGGCUUCGUCGGCCUCAGCGGCGCGAUCUUCACCCAGCUCUACCUCGCCUUCUACGGCCACGGCGGUGACCCUAGGUCGCUCGUCCUCCUCGUUGCCUGGCUCCCCGCCGCCGUCUCCCUCGUCUUCCUGCACACCAUCCGCUACAUGAAGCCUCCUCCUCAUCGUCAUCAAUCCCACGAGUUCAAGGUCCUGUGCUCCUUGCUCUACAUCACCCUCGCUCUCGCCGGAUUCCUCAUGGCCGUGAUCAUCCUGCAAAGCCGCUUCGAGUUCUCCCAGCGCGCUUACACGGCCGGCUCUGUCGUCGUCCUCAUCCUCCUCUUCCUCCCUCUCGUCGUGGUCGCGAGAGAGGAGGCAUCGAAUUGGAAGCGCGGCAAGCCACCUAUCGGAGGUCCUCCGCUGGAAUCCAAACCGAUCGAUCCGAAAGCAUCGAUCACAACACCAAAGAAAAACUCAGUUACAUCUUCCUCAGCCCUAGCCGACGUCUUCAGGACCCCAAAGAGAGGCGAGGACUACUCCAUCCUGCAAGCCAUCGCGAGCGUCGACAUGCUCAUCAUCGUCAUCGCCACCAUCUGCGGCGUUGGCGGAACCCUGACCGCCAUCGACAACAUGGGCCAGAUCGGCCAGUCCCUCGGCUACGAUGCCCAGAGCGUUGCCACCCUGGUCUCCCUUAUCAGCAUCUGGAACUACGCCGGCCGCGUCGUCGCGGGGUUCGCCUCCGAGAUCCUGCUAGUCAAGUACAGGCUUCCCCGCCCCCUUCUGCUCACUCUGGUCUUCCUCCUAUCCUGCGCCGGCCACCUCCUCAUCGCCUUCGGGAGCAUCCCGGCCUCGCUAUACGCCGCAUCGGUGAUCACCGGAUUCUGCUUCGGGGCGCAGGUGCCGCUGUUCUUCGCCAUCAUAUCGGAGGUGUUCGGGCUGAAGCACUACUCGACGCUGCACAACUUCGGCGGCGCAGCGAGCCCUAUCGGGUCAUACAUACUGAACGUGAAGGUGGCCGGGCAGUUGUACGACCGCGCGGCUGUGCGGCAGAACGCUGUCGGCAACAUGUCAAACUCUUCCUUUUCCUCUUCUUCCUCGGAGUCAUCGUUGGCGACAUGCGUCGGAGAGGAGUGCUUCAAGCUUUCAUUCAUCAUCAUUACGGCGGUGACCAUGGCAGGGGCUGCGGUGAUGCUGGUGUUGGUUUGGAGGACAUGGGAAUUCUAUAGAGGAGAUAUAUAUAGCAGGCACAGAGGAGGAGGAGAGGCAAAGAAGGAAUUGGAGGUGAAAGAGGAGGAGAUGGUGCCAAUGCUUGAGCAAAGGCUUGACUGAGAGAUGCAUACACAAUAAAUUGAAAGAGAAUUGCUGGAGAAAUAGAACAACAGGACAAGAGUUUCUAAGAGUCUUAGGUUUCAAGCUCCAAAUUUGGCCAUUAAAUUCAAAAGCAACUUGAAUUCCAAACCCCUUUUGGAGGGAAACCAACCUCAAGAGGUGGCUCAGAAGGUGCACAAAAAGGUAGUAGUCCCUUGAGGCAAGACAAGGAUGAAGCAUGCACAAGACUUCCAAUAGGUUAUUCAAUUGCAUGGAGAACA